CCUACGUGAGGCUGCAGUGAGGAAUAUUGGUCAAUGGGCUUACGCCUGAACCAGCCAAGUCGCGUGAGGGAAGACUGCCCUAUGGGUUGUAAACCUCUUUUGUCAGGGAGCAACGCCGGCUACGUGUAGCCGGACUGAGAGUACCUGAAGAAAAAGCAUCGGCUAACUCCGUGCCAGCAGCCGCGGUAAUACGGAGGAUGCGAGCGUUAUCCGGAUUUAUUGGGUUUAAAGGUUGCGUAGGCUGUCGGAUAAGUUAGAGGUCAAAUGUCGGGGCUUAACCCCGUGCCUGCCUCUGAUACUGUUCGACUAGAGAGCGGAUGCAGCAGGCGGAAUGAGUAGUGUAGCGGUGAAAUGCUUAGAUAUUACUCAGAACACCGAUUGCGCAGGCAGCUUGCUAAUCCGCAUCUGACGCUGAUGCACGAAAGCGUGGGUAGCGAACAGGAUUAGAUACCCCAGUAGUC
rnacentral:rRNA from 1 species